GAGACAGGCAUAUGGCUGUGGUGGAGACCGGGGCUCCAGAGACAUGGCAUUUGUAUGUAAGGUUUGAUGAAUAUCUACAAUGUGCCACACUGCUAGAAAGAAGGAUAAAAGGUGUACCAAAUAAGUAAAUAGCAUGUCAUCAUGAAAGUGGGAAAGACACAAGAUAAGCAGGAAACAUCACUGAUUCUCACAGCCUAGAGUACUUGGUGACUACUGCCUCUGACCAAAGCAGAACUCUCUCCUCUGCUGGUUCUGACUUGUGCCAAUAUGAAGAACUCCUUGGAGCCUAUCAUCUCAUCAGCGCCAACUAUUGUCCAUGAUGAAGGUUUGGGAAUGAUACAUGGUUCACUAGGCUGGCCUGGAAUUCACCUGAAGCUCACACCAGCCUGGGAUCCUCCUGCAGGAACCUUCCAAAUAGCCGGGGUGACAGAUGUGCACCAGUAGGCCUAGUGGUAAUUAGGCUUNAGAUGCUAGAUCUGGGAUGCGACUUUUGAAGAAUCACUCGCCAANGAAGAAUCCUGUCUUCAUGAGCUAUAUGGGCCAGCAGCCCGUUUAAACUGUUCUCAGGGAUACGUGUGGAACACUGUGUCAGUAUCCAUGAGUAGUAUGGUUCCCUAUAUGGCUGUAAUUAGAAUUUUCACAAUGAAGUGCAAGGGAAAAACACAAACAGCAAUUUUCGGGAAAACAUGAAUUUCAGAUUUUCUCAUGAAUAGAAACAUAAUGAC